rnacentral:rRNA from 1 species
UACGGAGGGAGCUAGCGUUGUUCGGAAAUACUGGGCGUAAAGCGCACGUAGGCGGCGCAGCAAGUCAGGGGUGAAAUCCCGGGGCUCAACCCCGGAACUGCCUCUGAAACUGCAGUGCUAGAAUCUUGGAGAGGCGAGUGGAAUUCCGAGUGUAGAGGUGAAAUUCGUAGAUAUUCGGAAGAACACCAGUGGCGAAGGCGACUCGCUGGACAAGUAUUGACGCUGAGGUGCGAAAGCGUGGGGAGCAAACAG